rnacentral:lncRNA from 1 species
CUGAAUGACCUGUCCUGGGCCAGUGACCCUGGACUUCAACCAGAUGUCAGAAUCUCAAGGUACAACCAACAUUUUCACUCCAUGUUGGGUCAAAACAGUUAACACAGCCAAGAUAUUCAAGGUUUCAGUAGAUACUGACUAAGUCCUGGCCAGCUGUGAAAAGAAAGAGGCUGGAGAGCAAUGGCAUGAUCUCAGCUCACUGCAACCUCUGCCUCCGGGUUCAAGUGAUUCUUCUGCCUCAACCUCCUGAGUGGCUGGGAUUACAAGCGUAUGCCACCAUGCCCGGCUAAUUUUCUAUAUUUUCAGUAGAGAUGGACUUUCACCAUGUUAGCCAGGCUGGUUUCAAACUCUUGACCUCAGGUGAUCCACCCACCUCAGCCUCCCAAAGUGCUGGGAUUACAGAAUAUAAAGUGCUAACAUGAGAUAUAACACAAUACCAUGACUCCAGUGUUGCCUGAAUGUUAUGAGAAGUUAUUUUUGAACUUAAGAUUGGCCCUUUCUUCAAAUAAGAGCAGUUGGAACAACAAAAGCUGUUCAGUUGUACCCUUGGAAUCCACGGAAAUCCUGGGUAGGGAAGCUCCAGUACCACCAACUGGAAAGACUGGGAAUGCCUAGUAGCUGGUACUGGCCAUUGUCGUAGGCUUUGUCCACUUUGACAAACUGAAGACGGGGACUCGACUCACCUUCGCCAGCUACAGGAGGACCUCCAGACGAGGACCGGACUCGCCGCCUUUCUUUCCCGUCAGAAAGGGAUCCCUUGCGGACAGGACCGAAUGGCCCCUAAGGCUUCUCUGCAGGUCCAACCGAAACAGGCCUGAAGUUCCAGGAUGGGCGAGAGGAUCCUCUUUGAGCGAAACCAGCCUUCUGCCUGGCUGGCCCUGGUCAACACACUCGGAAGAGGCCGAUUUGGCGGACAGAACGGAAGAAAAGACCUAAAGAUGAUCCUCAUCCAAUCACUUAAAGGCCUGAAUAGAACCAAAAGUCUGACCUGCCCAUGAGUAAGAGAGAGCUCCUUCUGCCUGAUUGCUUCAGCUGAGAUAUCAGCCUUUUCCUGCCUUUGGAAUUGAACUGCAACACUGGCUCUUCCUGGGCCUCAAGCCUGCCAGCUUUUGAACUGUAACCACACCAUCAUCUCUCCUGGUUCUCAGGCCUUUGGACUCAAAUCAGAAACACACCAUGGGCUCUCCUAUGUCUCAAGCUUGCCAACUGUGAUCUUGAGACUUCUCAGCCUCCAUAAUCACAUGAGUCAAUUGUUGGUUCUGUUUCUCUGGAGAACCCUAAUCCAUCACUUUACAUAUUUCUUCCAUUACGCAUAUUGUUUCCCAGCAUAUUAAAUAAUUUACUGAUUAUA